rnacentral:rRNA from 1 species
AUACUGCAGUCGAGCGGACAGAAGGGAGCUUGCUCCCGGAUGUUAGCGGCGGACGGGUGAGUAACACGUGGGUAACCUGCCUGUAAGACUGGGAUAACUCCGGGAAACCGGAGCUAAUACCGGAUAGUUCCUUGAACCGCAUGGUUCAAGGAUGAAAGACGGUUUCGGCUGUCACUUACAGAUGGACCCGCGGCGCAUUAGCUAGUUGGUGGGGUAAUGGCUCACCAAGGCGACGAUGCGUAGCCGACCUGAGAGGGUGAUCGGCCACACUGGGACUGAGACACGGCCCAGACUCCUACGGGAGGCAGCAGUAGGGAAUCUUCCGCAAUGGACGAAAGUCUGACGGAGCAACGCCGCGUGAGUGAUGAAGGUUUUCGGAUCGUAAAGCUCUGUUGUUAGGGAAGAACAAGUGCGAGAGUAACUGCUCGCACCUUGACGGUACCUAACCAGAAAGCCACGGCUAACUACGUGCCAGCAGCCGCGGUAAUACGUAGGUGGCAAGCGUUGUCCGGAAUUAUUGGGCGUAAAGGGCUCGCAGGCGGUUUCUUAAGUCUGAUGUGAAAGCCCCCGGCUCAACCGGGGAGGGUCAUUGGAAACUGGGAAACUUGAGUGCAGAAGAGGAGAGUGGAAUUCCACGUGUAGCGGUGAAAUGCGUAGAGAUGUGGAGGAACACCAGUGGCGAAGGCGACUCUCUGGUCUGUAACUGACGCUGAGGAGCGAAAGCGUGGGGAGCGAACAGGAUUAGAUACCCUGGUAGUCCACGCCGUAAACGAUGAGUGCUAAGUGUUAGGGGGUUUCCGCCCCUUAGUGCUGCAGCUAACGCAUUAAGCACUCCGCCUGGGGAGUACGGUCGCAAGACUGAAACUCAAAGGAAUUGACGGGGGCCCGCACAAGCGGUGGAGCAUG